rnacentral:lncRNA from 1 species
CCUCCUCCAGCGGAGAUCCUCAUCCAGGCCUGUGCGCUUCAGGACUCAGAACAAGACGCUGGAAGAGCCCGUCCAGCCAUUCCCUGAGCCAGCCUCUUCCCCAUCCUAGUUUCGCUAUGGCUAGCACCCCCCUCUCCAAGUCCAUCUAGGAAACAAACCUGAACAGCUCGGGGAGGAGGGUGUUGGAGAGGAGCAUAAGAGAGGCCCACCCUUCACCUCCAAGCCAUGAAUAGGGACAAACACACGUUAUAACUGGAUUCCACCCCCGAACCUAGUACCAAGGCCAGGUGGAUCCUACCUGCCAAGCUGGGUGGGGCAGAACCACCCACCAGCCGGCGGUUCUUUCCUCACUCUCACCCAGCUUUGAACAUUCCGAGAACAUCCAACAGCCUCUCACUACCUUCCCCUUGCCCAG